UAUUAAUGAUGAUUUUAACGAGACAAGCAUAUGUCUGAAUAAAUUUGAUGUUAACUCAAAUCUGAUAUG